GGCUCCUUAGUUUAUAUGGUUAGAAUAGAACACUUUCAUUGUUCAGAAGCCUGUUCAACUCAGGCAGGAGUCA
rfam:Conidiobolus coronatus NRRL 28638 unplaced genomic scaffold CONCOscaffold_420, whole genome shotgun sequence.